rnacentral:rRNA from 1 species
UACGUAGGGUCCGAGCGUUUGUCCGGAAUUGCUGGGCGUAAAGAGCUCGUAGGCGGUGUGUCACGUCGGCCGUGAAACCUGGGGCUCAACUCCAGGCUUGCGGUCGAUACGGGCUAGCUAGAGUGUGGUAGGGGAGAUCGGAAUUCCUGGUGUAGCGGUGAAAUGCGCAGAUAUCAGGAGGAACACCGGUGGCGAAGGCGGUUCUCUGGGCAUUACCUGACGCUGAGGAGCGAAAGUGUGGGAGCGAACAGG